UACGAAGGGGGCUAGCGUUGCUCGGAAUCACUGGGCGUAAAGCGCACGUAGGCGGAUUGCUAAGUCAGGGGUGAAAUCCUGGAGCUCAACUCCAGAACUGCCCUUGAUACUGGCGGUCUCGAGUCCGGGAGAGGUGAGUGGAACUGCGAGUGUAGAGGUGAAAUUCGUAGAUAUUCGCAAGAACACCAGUGGCGAAGGCGGCUCACUGGCCCGAUACUGACGCUGAGGCACGAAAGCGUGGGGAGCAAACAGGGAUUAAGCAAACCCCGGUAGUACCCGGAACCAAC
rnacentral:rRNA from 1 species